UCUUUUUUAAUUUUACAAAUUUAUUAUGUUUCCUUUAAUCAAACGUCAUUUAAUUUACAUACCUUAUUAUAACCAAUUACUUGCGCAAGUCUCGCAAGUAAUAUUAUUUGCGUCGUUAAUACUCUUCACCAUCAAAGGACUAUAUAUAGAGUACAAAGUGGCGAUGAAGCAACACAACCAUUCUUCUAUUUUUAUAUAUACAUAUUUCAUCAUAGCUGACUUUUCUUUUGGUUUAUAUGCAGAUGCCCUAUUCUAACGAUUUCACCACGAUGCAGCGAAGAAUAUGACACAAAAGCUGAUGUUUUCUCCUUUGCUUUGAUCGUUCAAGAGAUAAAUGAUAGAAGGACGAAUGCCAUUUGCUGAAAAGGAAGACAGUGAAGCUUCAGAAGCUUAUGCCAGCAAAGAGCGGCCACUGUUCAAAGCUCCAUCAAAUAGCUUUACCCUCAUGGACUUAAAACACGUCUGUGGAAGCAGUACUCUGGUGUUAUAGGAGGACAAUUUAAAUGGUGAUAUAUAGUUGAUCAAAAGGAGAUAAUGAUCCAUGGUACCGUGAAGAAGGAACACCAAGAUGACUUUAUAAGUUUGGAAGCAACUGCGUUGGCUGGAAAUAAUCUUCAUUAGUUGAUGGAUGCAUUGAGGAAAUUUUCUUUUGGGUAAACUACACACAGCGGCAAGAAGGAGUAGAAUCUUUUUUUUUUGGUCAAGAGGGAGUAGAAUCUAUUAUUAUUAUAUACAUGGGUGGAAGGAUUAAACUGAUC